GGACUCUUUAAGAAAGAGAUAGUGACUGAUGUAAUUUUUCUCUGCUUAUUAGAUUUUUUACAAUUGUCCUUUUGUUUCAUUGUUAACAGAGUGGUUGCUAAGACAAUCCCUUCUGGAUGGAAGCAGAAAUAAGAUGCUGAUGGAGCUGCUAUUCCUCUCUACUACUCAGCCAUCUGCAGAGAAAGGACAAGAAAAAGAGAAAGCAACGAGUGCUACGUCACUGAAACAGCAGGAGACGGCCACUUGUGACCUGCAACCAUGGGCAAUUUCUUCAACCCUUCUGGGUCUCUAAACCUUUAUUUUCUUGAACGUAAAACUGUAAAGGUGACGCUUACCUCAUGGUAUUGUUGCGAGGAUCAAAUCCAGAGUUGUUUGAGGAAACUACCUGGUACAAGGCCUGGCACCUAGAAGCAGUGGUUAUUGAGAGUCUGCGUUACUGCAGAGUUUGGCAGCAUCUCAGUGUUUGAUAUUAUAUCUCAUCUGGCAGGGAAAACUGAAACAGAGCUGAAGACUGUGAUGGUGAAAGCAGCACGCCGAGAUUCUGUUCUGGUUUCGGCCAGGAUUGUUUGUUCAGUCCCAACAGCUAGCACAAGUCCUCCUUUGGGACCCUGAGAAAUCACCAGCCACACGGUAACCAAACGGCGGGCAGAAACCCGAGCAGCCAGGAGGGAGGCAGAGGCGGCCUUUGUGGACAAAAACAUUUGUUCCCCUUAAAGAAAUAGGAUGUUUGAAAAGAAAACACACAAUCUCGGAGAGGCAGACUCCGGCACAUACAUUUCGGUUCCCACUCCCUCCAGAUGGACCAGAGGAUCAAGCCAGCUACAUGAUAUAUUCCUUUGCCAGGAACAAAACUCACAAUAGGGAAUGCUGUGUUCCCACACAAAAUAAUUUUGGUGUUCUAUUGAACUAGAGUGGUUUCCAAUUGCCAUUUUCCAGAAGGCGAGCUACCCCUGAAGUUCUUGAUGCAUCUAAAAGUCAUGAAAUCCAUAAUCAACUUGUGGCUUGGGGUGUUGUUUACUGUGACCAAAAGAGUACCCUGGAGGUUUUUCAGGCUUUAGAAACACAGAAGAAAAUGAGUUGAAUGGACUCCCUUGUGUUUUACACUUUUUAAACUGGUCUAAACUGGAAUUGGGAAAAUUGUCUGGCAUGGGGAUAAUCUAUAGCCAAACUUAACUCGAUGGGCCUUACUCCAUGGGGAGCCUGGAAUAACACAGCUCGAAGAGGAGACAAAUAAGCACGGAGGCAAAGGC
rnacentral:lncRNA from 1 species